AACUACAAAGGAAUUGACGGGACCCGCACAAGCGGUGGAUGAUGUGGUUUAAUUCGAUGCAACGCGAAAAACCUUACCCACCUUUGACAUGUACGGAAUCCUUUAGAGAUAGAGGAGUGCUCGAAAGAGAGCCGUAACACAGGUGCUGCAUGGCUGUCGUCAGCUCGUGUCGUGAGAUGUUGGGUUAAGUCCCGCAACGAGCGCAACCCUUGUCAUUAGUUGCUACGAAAGGGCACUCUAAUGAGACUGCCGGUGACAAACCGGAGGAAGGUGGGGAUGACGUCAAGUCCUCAUGGCCCUUAUAGGUGGGGCUACACACGUCAUACAAUGGCUGGUACAAAGGGUUGCCAACCCGCGAGGGGGAGCCAAUCCCAUAAAGCCAGUCGUAGUCCGGAUCGCAGUCUGCAACUCGACUGCGUGAAGUCGGAAUCGCUAGUAAUCGUGGAUCAGCAUGUCACGGUGAAUACGUUCCCGGGUCUU
rnacentral:rRNA from 1 species